AAGGGCGCAUGGCGGAUGCCUUGGCUCUCGGAGGCGAUGAAGGACGUGAUAAGCUGCGAUAAGCUCUGGGUAGGUGCAAAUAACCUUUGAUCCAGAGAUUUCCGAAUGGGACAACCCGGCAUUCUGAAGGAAUGUCAUCCAUCUUUGAUGGAAGCUAACGCAGGGAACUGAAACAUCUUAGUACCUGUAGGAAAAGAAAAUAAUAAUGAUUCCCCUAGUAGUGGCGAGCGAACGGGGAAUAGCCCAAACCACCCAUGUUACGGCAUGUGUGGGGUUGUAGGACCACGAUGUCGCAAGACAUUUGAUGAGUAGAAUCCUCUGGAAAGUUGAACCAUAGACGGUGAUAGUCCGGUAUACGAAGUCAAAUUAAGCGUAGUGGUAUCCUGAGUAGCGCGGGACACGAGAAAUCUUGCGUGAAUCUGCCGGGACCAUCCGGUAAGGCUAAAUACUCCCGAGAGACCGAUAGCGAACCAGUACUGUGAAGGAAAGGUGAAAAGCACUUCGAAUAGAAGAGUGAAAUAGUCCCUGAAACCGUGCGCCUACAAGCGGUCGGAGCUGCUUAAGCAGUGACGGCGUGCCUUUUGCAUAAUGAACCUACGAGUUACUUUUUCCGGCAAGGUUAAGCAUCUUGAGAUGUGCAGCCGAAGCGAAAGCGAGUCUGAACAGGGCGUCGAGUCGGAAGGAGUAGACGCGAAACCAAGUGAUCUACCCUUGGUCAGGUUGAAGGUUAGGUAACACUAACUGGAGGACCGAACCGAUAAGCGUUGAAAAGCUUCCGGAUGAACUGAGGGUGGGGGUGAAAGGCUAAUCAAACUUGGAGAUAGCUCGUACUCCCCGAAAUGCAUUUAGGUGCAGCCUUGUGAGUUACUAAUGUGAGGUAGAGCGACUGAUAAGAUGCGAGGGCUUCACCGCCUAUCAAGUCUUGAUAAACUCCGAAUGCGCAUUAGUUCUAUCACAGGAGUGAGGGCAUGGGUGCUAAGGUCCAUGUCCUAAAGGAGAAGAAUCCAGACCAUCAGCUAAGGUCCCCAAAUAAACACUAAGUUGAACUAACGAAGUCAGAUUGCUAAGACAGCUAGGAUGUUGGCUUGGAAGCAGCCAUUCAUUUAAAGAGUGCGUAACAGCUCACUAGUCGAGGAGUUUGGCGUGGAUAAUAAUCGGGCAUUAAGUGUUUUACCGAAGCUAUGGGAUCAGUAAUGAUCGGUAGGGGAGCAUUCCACUCUGCGUCGAAGGUGAAGCGUGAGCUUUGCUGGAGCGUGUGGAAAAGCAAAUGUAGGUAUAAGUAACGAUAAAGGGGGUGAGAAACCCCCUCGCCGAAAGACUAAGGUUUCCUGAUCAACGCUAAUCGGAUCAGGGUUAGUCGGGUCCUAAGGCUCAGCCGAACGGUGAGGCCGAUGGCAGAACAGGUUAAUAUUCCUGUACUACCUUAAGGAGUGACGUGGAGACGGAGCAGUGACAGCGCCGCGGACUGACGGAAUAGUCCGUUGAAGGGUGUAGAUGUUGAUCAUCCCAGGCAAAUCCGGGAUGAGAGUCGAACCUGAUAGUAUGGAGCGUUCUUCGGAACAAUCCAAUAGUGCGUGUAAGCAUACUCCCAAGAAAAUCCGCUAAACUUAAUCCUUAAGGUACCCGUACCGCAAACGGACACACGUAGUCGGGUUGAAUAUACUAAGGCGCUUGAGUGAUUCACGGUUAAGGAACUAGGCAAAUUGACCCUGUAACUUCGGGAUAAAGGGUCCCAACGAGAGUUGGGCGCAGAGAAUAGGUCCAGGCAACUGUUUAACAAAAACACAGGGCUGUGCCAAAUUGAAAGAUUACGUAUACAGCCUGACACCUGCCCGGUGCUGGAAGGUUAAGAGGAGAUGUCAUCGCAAGAGAAGCAUUGAAUUGAAGCCCCAGUAAACGGCGGCCGUAACUAUAACGGUCCUAAGGUAGCGAAAUUCCUUGUCGGGUAAGUUCCGACCUGCACGAAUGGUGUAAUGAUCUGGACACUGUCUCAACCGUGAGCUCAGUGAAAUUGUAGUAUCGGUGAAGAUGCCGAUUACCCGCGAUGGGACGAAAAGACCCCGUGAACCUUUACUAUAGCUUAACAUUGAAUUUGGGUAAUUGAUGUGUAGGAUAGGCCGGAGACUUUGAAGCAGGUACGCCAGUAUUUGUGGAGUCGCUGUUGAAAUACGGCCCUUUGAUUAUUUGAGUUCUAACUCGUAGUUGCGAGGACACUGUUUGGUGGGUAGUUUGACUGGGGUGGUCGCCUCCAAAAUAGUAACGGAGGCUUCUAAAGGUGCCCUCAGGACGAUUGGUAACCGUCCGUAGAGUGUAAUGGCAUAAGGGCGCUUGACUGGGAGACUAACAAGUCGAUCAGGUAGGAAACUAGAGCAUAGUGAUCCGGUGUUUCCGUAUGGAAGGGACAUCGCUCAAAGGAUAAAAGGUACUCCGGGGAUAACAGGCUGAUCCCUCCCAAGAGCUCAUAUCGACGGAGGGGUUUGGCACCUCGAUGUCGGCUCGUCACAUCCUGGGGCUGGAGAAGGUCCCAAGGGUUGGGCUGUUCGCCCAUUAAAGUGGCACGCGAGCUGGGUUCAGAACGUCGUGAGACAGUUCGGUCUCUAUCUAUCGUGGGCGUAUGAAAUUUGCGUGGCUCUGACACUAGUACGAGAGGACCG
rnacentral:rRNA from 1 species